UACGGAGGGUGCAAACGUUGCUCGGAAUCAUUGGGCGUAAAGCGCACGUAGGCGGCCUGACAAGUCGGGUGUGAAAGCCCUGGGCUCAACCCAGGAAGUGCACUCGAAACUGCCAGGCUUGAAUAUGGAAGAGGGUCGCGGAAUUCCCGGUGUAGAGGUGAAAUUCGUAGAUAUUCGCAAGAACACCAGUGGCGAAGGCGGCUCACUGGCCCGAUACUGACGCUGAGGUGCGAAAGCGUGGGGAGCAAACAGG
rnacentral:rRNA from 1 species